UACGGAGGAUGCAAGCGUUAUCCGGAAUGAUUGGGCGUAAAGCGUCCGCAGGUGGUUUUGUAUGUCUGCUGUUAAAGCGUGCGGCUUAACCGCAUAAAGGCGGUGGAAACUACAAGACUAGAGUACGUUCGGGGCAGAGGGAAUUCCCAGUGUAGCGGUGAAAUGCGUAGAGAUUGGGAAGAACAUCGGUGGCGAAAGCGCUCUGCUAGGCCUGUACUGACACUGAGGGACGAAAGCUAGGGGAGCGAAUGGGAUUAGAUACCCCAGUAGUCCUAGCCGUAAACGAUGGAUACUAGGCGUUGUCUGUAUCGACCCGGACAGUGCCGUAGCUAACGCGUUAAGUAUCCCGCCUGGGGAGU
rnacentral:rRNA from 1 species